UACGAAGGGGGCUAGCGUUGUUCGGAUUUACUGGGCGUAAAGCGCACGUAGGCGGAUCGUUAAGUCGGGGUGAAAUCCUGGAGCUCAACUCCAGAACUGCCUUCGAUACUGGCGAUCUUGAGUCCGGAAGAGGUGAGUGGAACUCCUAGUGUAGAGGUGGAAUUCGUAGAUAUUCGCAAGAACACCAGUGGCGAAGGCGGCUCACUGCCCGAUACUGACGCUGAGGCACGAAAGCGUGGGGAGCAAACAGG
rnacentral:rRNA from 1 species